CCGGUAGCUCAGUCGGUAGAGCACUGGACUUUUAAUCCAGGUGUCGGGAGUUCGAGCCUCCUC
rnacentral:tRNA from 1 species